GUUGGUGUCUCCCCUUCACAUCAACACCAUAAUAAGCGGAUCAUCCGUCACAAAGUCUGACACUGACAAGCAUGUUCAGCUCCAGUACAGACAACCACCCCUCAGGAUACAACCUGGGCCCACAGGCGGGUGACCAGGGGUCUCGUGGGGGCCACAAGCCUGAAGGAGACCACGGAAAAGAGGAGCGCUACAGCGGAGAUGGUCACCAUGGAGGGGAUGAUCGCCAUGGAGAUGAUCACCAUAGAGAUGAGCCCCAUGGAGGUGACUACCAUAAAAGAUCUUUUUUUCAGUAAUCUGGGAUAGUGAAAAGUGCUAUAUAAGAAUCAGUCCAUUCACUGUCUGAACAGAGUUUCGUCAUGUUACUUUUGCACUAUU